ensembl:lncRNA
UACGCGUGAAAGGAGACUAACUGGCAAAGUAAACAAAUAAAUAAAAAGUAACUCUGAGUGACAGGUCGUUGAGCCGGAGUUAUUGAUAGAUUCCACAAAGCGAUACCGUUGGAUCGAUGUCUCCCCGCCGAGGGGUCCGCAGCCCCCCACCAGCUAAAGGUCAGACGCACUCUCUGCCUCUCCCUUCCCUCCUCCCCUCAUCUUUAUCUGGCACGUCGUACAUCCAAGUACUCUUUGGGGCACCGCAGCUUUUCUGAACACCGUGCCGGGAGACGGAGCGUCUACGUUAACAAACUAUUGACUGUGAGCCUGAUCCCCACACACAUCCACAGCGGCAAGAACAACAGCGGAUUGCGUCACUCUGGCCAUGUUGUUGUUGAACAACUCCUCCCCCUACCACAGGCUGAAAAGUGCACAAUUAUCGGAUCAACCAACAUCGGCCGGUCACCGUAGUAACCAUAGACUCAGAGCACGUGGAUGACACCCCUACCAUGAGCUGAACUAGGAUCUAAAGGAAACAAGGGAAACAACAACAGAAU